ACUCCAUCCAUGUGUUAAAACUCAUGGAACUGCUUAUCAGAUUAAUAUCUGACACAUCUUCUAUCUGAGGACAAUAGAUUAAAUGGAUUUUUGGAGCCUGGAGUUGGACCAGGAGCUUGCUCCCUCUGCCCCAUGCAGUGGCCUGGAAUGCAGUACUUCCAGGACCAGUGCACCCCUC
ensembl:snRNA U2 U2 spliceosomal RNA